UACGUAGGGUGCGAGCGUUAAUCGGAAUUACUGGGCGUAAAGCGUGCGCAGGCGGUUCGUCGUGUCUGAUGUGAAAGCCCCGGGCUCAACCUGGGAAUGGCAUUGGAAACUGGCGGACUAGAGUGUGGCAGAGGGGGGUGGAAUUCCGCGUGUAGCAGUGAAAUGCGUAGAUAUCAGGAGGAACACCGGUGGUGUAAACGGCUUUCUGGACCAUAAACUGACGCUGAGGCACGAAAGCGUGGGUAGCAAACAGG
rnacentral:rRNA from 1 species